rnacentral:rRNA from 1 species
UACGUAGGGGGCGAGCGUUGUCCGGAAUUACUGGGCGUAAAGAGCUCGUAGGUGGUUUGUCGCGUUGUCCGUGAAAACUCACAGCUCAACUGUGGGCGUGCGGGCGAUACGGGCAGACUGGAGUACUGCAGGGGAGACUGGAAUUCCUGGUGUAGCGGUGGAAUGCGCAGAUAUCAGGAGGAACACCGGUGGUGAAGGCGGGUCUCUGGGCAGUAACUGACGCUGGAGGAGCGAAAGCGUGGGGAGCGAACAGG